rnacentral:rRNA from 1 species
UACGGGGGGGGGCAAGCGUUGUUCGGAAUUACUGGGCGUAAAGGGCUCGUAGGCGGCCAACUAAGUCAUACGUGAAAUCCCUCGGCUUAACCGGGGAACUGCGUCUGAUACUGGAUGGCUGGAGUGUGGGAGAGGGAUGCGGAAUUCCAGGUGUAGCGGUGAAAUGCGUAGAUAUCUGGAGGAACACCGGUGGCGAAGGCGGGUCUCUGGGCCGAUACUGACGCUGAGGAGCGAAAGCGUGGGGAGCGAACAGG